GACGAACGCUGGCGGCGUGCUUAACACAUGCAAGUCGAACGGAAAGGCCCUGCUUUUGUGGGGUGCUCGAGUGGCGAACGGGUGAGUAACACGUGAGUAACCUGCCCUUGACUUUGGGAUAACUUCAGGAAACUGGGGCUAAUACCGGAUAGGAGCUCCUGCUGCAUGGUGGGGGUUGGAAAGUUUCGGCGGUUGGGGAUGGACUCGCGGCUUAUCAGCUUGUUGGUGGGGUAGUGGCUUACCAAGGCUUUGACGGGUAGCCGGCCUGAGAGGGUGACCGGCCACAUUGGGACGGAGAUACGGCCCAGACUCCUACGGGAGGCAGCAGUGGGGAAUAUUGCACAAUGGGAGGAAGCCUGAUGCAGCAACGCCGCGUGCGGGAUGACGGCCUUCGGGUUGUAAACCGCUUUCGCCUGUGACGAAGCGUGAGUGACGGUAAUGGGUAAAGAAGCACCGGCUAACUACGUG
rnacentral:rRNA from 1 species